rnacentral:rRNA from 1 species
AGAGUUUGAUCCUGGCUCAGGGCUAACGCUGGCGGCGUGUCUUAGCCAUGCAAGUCGAGCGGUCCUAUGGGGCGACCUAUAGGAUAGCGGCGGACGGCGGAGUAACACGUAGCUAACCUACCCUCCGGACGGGGAUAACCAUUCGAAAGGGUGGCUAAUACCCGAUGGAGUCAUCCGCAAGGGUGAUGAAAGGUGGGCCUCUGUUUACAAGCUCAUGCCGGGGGAGGGGGCUGCGGCCUAUCAGGUAGUUGGUGGGGUAAAGGCCCACCAAGCCUAUGACGGGUAGCCGGCCUGAGAGGGUGACCGGCCCGAGGGACACUGAGACACGGGUCCCACUCCUACGGGAGGCAGCAGGCUAGAAAUUUGGGCAAUGGGGGAAACCCUGACCCAGUGACGCCGCGUGCAGGAAGGAGCCCUUCGGGGUGUAAACUGCUGUCGUGCGGGGCGAAGGGUUUAUAGGCGAAUAGUCUAUAGACUUGACGGUACCGCAGGAGGAAGCCCAGGCUAACCUCGUGCCAGCAGCCGCGGUAAUACGGGGUGGGCGAGCGUUGCCCGGAAUUACUGGGUUUAAAGGGGGUGUAGGCGGUCUGGAUAGUCAGGUGUGUAAUCCAAUCGCUCAACGAUUGGACUGCAUCUGAUACUUUCAGGCUAGAGGGCGGUAGAGGAGAGCGGAACUCCCGGUGUAGCGGUGAAAUGCGUAGAUAUCGGGAGGAACGCCGGUGGCGAAGGCGGCUCUCUGGGCCGUUCCUGACGCUGAGGCCCGAAAGCUGGGGGAGCGAAAGGGAUUAGAUACCCCUGUAGUCCCAGCCGUAAACGAUGGGCACUAGGUGUGCCUCUAUAUAGGGGUGUGCCGACGGGAAACCAUUAAGUGCCCCCACCUGGGGGAGUACGCCCGCAAGGGUGAAACUCAAAUGAAUUGACGG